rnacentral:rRNA from 1 species
AUGGGGUGCACCAGGCGCGAAAACUUUGCAAUGUGCGAAAGCACGACAAGGUUAAUCCGAGUGCAACAUGCUGAAUGUAGCUUUUGGUAAAUGUAAAUAUUUUAUUGAAUAAGGGGAGGGAAAGUCUGGUGUCAGCCGCCGCGGUAAUACCAGCUCCCCGAGUGGUCGGGACGAUUAUUGGGCCUAAAGCAUCCGUAGCCGGUUCUGUAGGUCUUAUGUUAAAAUCAAUUGCUUAACAAUUGAACUGCAUGAGAUACCACAAAACUAGGAGGCGGGAGAGGUGGACGGUAUUCCACGGGUAGGGGUAAAAUCCUCUGAACCGUGGAGGACCACCAGUGGCGAAGGCGGUCCACCAGAACGCGCUCGACGGUGAGGGAUGAAAGCUGGGGUAGCGAACCGGAUUAGAUACCCGGGUAGUCCCAGCUGUAAACGAUGCAAGCUAGGUGAUGCAUUAGCCACGUGUUAAUGCAGUGCCGCAGGGAAGCCGUUAAGUCUGCCGCCUGGGAAGUACGUACGCAAGUAUGAAACUUAAAGGAAUUGGCGGGGGAGCAC